GCUGGGCGCCGCCCACCGGGCAGUAGAGCCCCAGCCUCAGAAGGAAUCUGCCAGGUGAUGGGGCUACCCCUCUGCGCAUUCCUGUGGUGGACCCCACUCCCUCAGAUGAUGCGGACGGGAAAGAUGCGCGGAGCCGAAGAGCGCCCUCUCUGGGGGUCUGGAUUGGAGCACCCAGCACCUGAGCUGGGUGAGAGACCCCUUGGGCUCUGGGGGAGUCCGAGUUGGCCGGCGGGGCGGCCGCUAGGGAGGAGCAGGGUAUGCUCAGCUUGAACCUCACAGAGAGGCUCUGACAACUCUGGAGAGCUCUCAAGCCACGGGCUGAUGGACAAUCGUGACCCUGACAACAUCUGGCCGCCCCAGGAUGCCCAUACCCUCACCCCACCUCCACCCCCACGGCUCUUGCCCAGGCCUUGCCAGAGGCCCUCUGCCUCCCAGCUUGUUUGCCUGCUCACUUACUAGCAGCAAGAGUACCUACUAGGCUGGCUCGAUGGGCAGUUGUCUCUGUCUUGGGAAAGUAGGGGCUGUGCUGGGUUCAUUCACUGGCCUCCCUCAAGCCAGCUCAAGGGCCUGGAGACAGGAGUCCUUCUCCUGGAGUGCUGCCCUCUCACCAGCUCUUCUCUACCAGCCAGCCAGAAGAUGCGAAGCUCAUGGUGACCUUGGCAGGCAGACAGGUGGCAUCAGGAUGGUCUGGGCCUGCAGGGCCACCCUGUCCCUUCAGGUGGCUUCAUGGAGAGCACCAAGAAGUGUGAUCUCAGCAUUCAUGUGUGACCUGACCCACAUCCUUCCUGGUGCCUGAGGAUGCGAGGAGGCUGCUAUGCUGGGGCUGAGCCCUGCCAGGCGUCCUGCUUGCAUCCCUGCAGCUGGGGCUGAGGCUGUCCUGCAGGGAGGGCUGGUGGGCCCUGAGGCAGAAUCCCACUGCCACUUCAGAAAGUAGAGAAGAAGCCAGGUGUGGUGGGGCCAGUGGCCAUCUGCCGGGACUUCAGGGAGACCAGACACACAGGAAGAGGCACUUUCUCCAGACACCUCCUUUAGGGGCAGGGCACAAGGCCUGGAACAAGGCUGCCUCUGACCAGAGCAACAGAGCCUGCUCUGAGGAUGGCAGAGCCUAGAGCAGGCAAGCUGUCAAGAUUCUGGGUUGAGGGUCACAGGACAGGAGGCUGGACUCCCGCUGAUAUGAUUUGGGUUUGUGUCCCCACCCAAAUCUCAUGUUCAAUUGUAAUCCCCAGUGUUGGAGGUUGGAGGCGAUUGGAUCAUGGGGGCGGAGUUCUCAUGAAUGGGUUAGCACCAUCCCCUCGGUGCUAUUCUCCUGUUAGUGAGUGAGUGAGUUCUGGAGGGAUCUGACUGUUUGAAAGUGUGGGGCACCUCCCCCUUCUCUCUCUUGCUCCUGCCAUGUGAGACACCUGCUCCAACUCUGCCUUCCACUAUGAGUGAAAGCUCCCUGAGGCCUUCCCAGAAGCAAAUGCUGCCAUGAUUCCUGUAAAGUUUGCAGAGCCAUGAUCUAAUUAAACCUCUUUUCUUUAUAAAUUACCCAGUCUCCGGCUUUUUUUUUUUUUUUUUUGGAGAUGGAGUCUCCCUCUAUCACCCAGGCUGGAGUGCAGUGACAUGAUCUCAGCUCACUGCAACCUCCACCUUCUGGGUUUAAGCGAUUCUCUUGCCUCAGCCUCUCAAGUAGCUGGGAUUACAGGUGCACGCCACCAUGCCCAGCUAAUUUUUGUAUUUUUAGUAGAGACAGGGUUUCACCGUGUUGGCCAGGCUGAUCUCAAACUUCCUGACCCAAGUGAUCUGCCCACUUCAGCUUCCCAAAGUGCUGGGAUUACAGGCAUGAGCCACCGUGCCCGGCCAAGGCCCUUCUUUAUAGCAGUGUGAGAACAGACUACUACACUCGCAAAGGCUCCCUCUCAGAGUCCACCCUUGCUGUCUCCACACAGCAGCCGGGGGGGAUCUCUUAGAACCUGAGUCAGAAGCUCCGUGACUCCCAC
rnacentral:lncRNA from 1 species